rnacentral:lncRNA from 1 species
UGUUUAAAAAGAAAAAGGGAGUAGAAGAAUGUUUUGAAGCAUGAUGAUAAAAAUGGAGUCUUGAGUCUUGUUUUUGCUUGUCGGGUCUGCCGAGUUUAGGAGAGAGUGUGGAGGGUGCCGGUAAUGGUGGCUUGGCUACUGUCGCCGGAAGGACGAGUCGUCGGAGGUGGAGGGAGGCAGGGCACGGCGGUGGUUAGCUCCUGCUGCCUGCUUCAUCUGCUGCUGUCGGCCGAAGAUUUGAGGGAGAGGCGGCGAGGCAAGGGCCUUGUCGCCGCUCUGAGCCGGGUCAGGGUAGAAACGGUGGCGGUGAUUCUCGCCGCUGCCGGUGGAAAUUGGAGAAGAGAGGGAGUGUGGGCGGUGUGAACCGAGAGAGAGAGAGAGGGAGAAGAGAGUCAGGGGCGGCGGCCAUCGUCGCCGGAGACGAAGAGGCCAGAGGGAAUGGGAGGGACAUGCGGCGCAGCUGU